rnacentral:tRNA from 1 species
UGGGGAGUCGCCAAGUGGUAAGGCACCGGGUUUUGAUCCCGGCAUUCCCAGGUUCGAAUCCUGGCUCCCCAGCCA